ACUCCGACCCGCUCCCAAAGUGGCUUCACAAUAGUCGGUCCUCGGCGGUGUAGGCUGCGCACCAGGUCCACACUUAAGCGAAAUCAAGGAGACCCCCUUCUACUUCUACCUUUGGGCUUGGUGCUCAAUGCGAAGCUGCUGCAACUCAGGCACGCCUAAGUCAACUCAUGCAGAAAAAGGAGAAAAGUUUUGGUAUACAAAUGCUCUCAGUCCAGCCAGACACCAAGCCGAAAGGUUGUGCUGGCUGCAACCGAAAGAUCAAGGACCGGUAUCUUCUAAAGGCACUGGACAAAUACUGGCAUGAAGACUGCCUGAAGUGUGCCUGCUGUGACUGUCGCUUGGGAGAGGUGGGCUCCACCCUGUACACUAAAGCUAAUCUUAUCCUUUGUCGCAGAGACUAUCUGAGGUAGGAAUUAUCCUUGCACACCAGUGAUGACUGGAUGCCUUUUAAAGUACUUUUGUAAGUGUAUUUUUUGUUUGCUUGUUUGAUUUCCUUACUGCCAGCUUAUAUUCCUGAAAGAAGUUGACCUGUCAGCCUUCAAAGUGUUGCCCUGUGUGUGUUACUCAAAUUAAUGCUUAAGGAAUAGCCAGCAAACCACAAUAUUUAAAGUAUUUCAAUUGGGCUUGCCUGCACACUCAGGCAAUUGGUUAUGGCGCUGCCUAUAUUGAAACUGCCAGUUAAUGUCAAGGAUGUAUUUGGUCGAAAUCAGCAUUCAGGUUGAUUUACUUAUUUUUGCUUUUUUUUUUUUUUUUUUUUUUUUGGAGCUUAAGGGGGAAUGGGGGUUGAGCAUAACACAAAGAAAUUAAUCAGCCAUUUGGCAAAGUAUCUUAACUAUUUUUCAAAAGUUCAACUUGAAAAAAAAUGGACUGUGUAAAACAGUUUAAUUGUUGCCUCUAAGUUGGACCUGAAUUUAGUCUUCUAAAGUUAUUCAGCUGUCUUCUCUGUUUCAAGUGUGUCAGAGGAAGUCAGGUGCAAAUCCUUGGUUAAUAUCUAUUAGUGCAUUUAUUGUAGAGUUUUGAAAACUUUCCCCAAGUGU
rnacentral:sRNA from 1 species